GGUUAAGCGACUAAGCGUACACGGUGGAUGCCCUGGCAGUCAGAGGCGAUGAAGGACGUGCUAAUCUGCGAAAAGCGUCGGUAAGGUGAUAUGAACCGUUACAGCCGGCGAUGUCCGAAUGGGGAAACCCAGUGUGAUUCGUCACACUAUCGUUAACUGAAUACAUAGGUUAACGAGGCGAACCGGGGGAACUGAAACAUCUAAGUACCCCGAGGAAAAGAAAUCAACCGAGAUUCCCCCAGUAGCGGCGAGCGAACGGGGAGCAGCCCAGAGUCUGAAUCAGCUUGUGUGUUAGUGGAACGGUCUGGAAAGUCCGACGGUACAGGGUGAUAGUCCCGUACACCAAAAUGCACAGGCUGUGAACUCGAAGAGUAGGGCGGGACACGUGGUAUCCUGUCUGAAUAUGGGGGGACCAUCCUCCAAGGCUAAAUACUCCUGACUGACCGAUAGUGAACCAGUACCGUGAGGGAAAGGCGAAAAGAACCCCGGCGAGGGGAGUGAAAAAGAACCUGAAACCGUGUACGUACAAGCAGUGGGAGCACCUUCGGGUGUGACUGCGUACCUUUUGUAUAAUGGGUCAGCGACUUAUAUUCUGUAGCAAGGUUAACCGUAUAGGGGAGCCGCAGGGAAACCGAGUCUUAACUGGGCGUUAAGUUGCAGGGUAUAGACCCGAAACCCGGUGAUCUAGCCAUGGGCAGGUUGAAGGUUGGGUAACACUAACUGGAGGACCGAACCGACUAAUGUUGAAAAAUUAGCGGAUGACUUGUGGCUGGGGGUGAAAGGCCAAUCAAACCGGGAGAUAGCUGGUUCUCCCCGAAAGCUAUUUAGGUAGCGCCUCGUGAAUUCAUCUUCGGGGGUAGAGCACUGUUUCGGCUAGGGGGUCAUCCCGACUUACCAACCCGAUGCAAACUACGAAUACCGAAGAAUGUUAUCACGGGAGACACACGGCGGGUGCUAACGUCCGUCGUGAAGAGGGAAACAACCCAGACCGCCAGCUAAGGUCCCAAAGUCAUGGUUAAGUGGGAAACGAUGUGGGAAGGCACAGACAGCCAGGAUGUUGGCUUAGAAGCAGCCAUCAUUUAAAGAAAGCGUAAUAGCUCACUGGUCGAGUCGGCCUGCGCGGAAGAUGUAACGGGGCUAAACCAUGCACCGAAGCUGCGGCAGCGACACUAUGUGUUGUUGGGUAGGGGAGCGUUCUGUAAGCCUGCGAAGGUGUGCUGUGAGGCAUGCUGGAGGUAUCAGAAGUGCGAAUGCUGACAUAAGUAACGAUAAAGCGGGUGAAAAGCCCGCUCGCCGGAAGACCAAGGGUUCCUGUCCAACGUUAAUCGGGGCAGGGUGAGUCGACCCCUAAGGCGAGGCCGAAAGGCGUAGUCGAUGGGAAACAGGUUAAUAUUCCUGUACUUGGUGUUACUGCGAAGGGGGGACGGAGAAGGCUAUGUUAGCCGGGCGACGGUUGUCCCGGUUUAAGCAUGUAGGCUGGUUGUCCAGGCAAAUCCGGAUAAUCAAGGCUGAGGUGUGAUGACGAGGCACUACGGUGCUGAAGUAACAAAUGCCCUGCUUCCAGGAAAAGCCUCUAAGCAUCAGGUAACAUUAAAUCGUACCCCAAACCGACACAGGUGGUCAGGUAGAGAAUACCAAGGCGCUUGAGAGAACUCGGGUGAAGGAACUAGGCAAAAUGGUGCCGUAACUUCGGGAGAAGGCACGCUGGUGUGUAGGUGAAGCCCCUGCGGGUGGAGCUGAGACCAGUCGAAGAUACCAGCUGGCUGCAACUGUUUAUUAAAAACACAGCACUGUGCAAACACGAAAGUGGACGUAUACGGUGUGACGCCUGCCCGGUGCCGGAAGGUUAAUUGAUGGGGUUAUCCGUAAGGAGAAGCUCUUGAUCGAAGCCCCGGUAAACGGCGGCCGUAACUAUAACGGUCCUAAGGUAGCGAAAUUCCUUGUCGGGUAAGUUCCGACCUGCACGAAUGGCGUAAUGAUGGCCAGGCUGUCUCCACCCGAGACUCAGUGAAAUUGAACUCGCUGUGAAGAUGCAGUGUACCCGCGGCAAGACGGAAAGACCCCGUGAACCUUUACUAUAGCUUGACACUGAACAUUGAGCCUUGAUGUGUAGGAUAGGUGGGAGGCUUUGAAGCGUGGACGCCAGUCUGCGUGGAGCCAACCUUGAAAUACCACCCUUUAAUGUUUGAUGUUCUAACGUUGGCCCCUGACCGGGGUUGCGGACAGUGUCUGGUGGGUAGUUUGACUGGGGCGGUCUCCUCCCAAAGCGUAACGGAGGAGCACGAAGGUUAGCUAAUCCUGGUCGGACAUCAGGAGGUUAGUGCAAUGGCAUAAGCUAGCUUGACUGCGAGCGUGACGGCGCGAGCAGGUGCGAAAGCAGGUCAUAGUGAUCCGGUGGUUCUGAAUGGAAGGGCCAUCGCUCAACGGAUAAAAGGUACUCCGGGGAUAACAGGCUGAUACCGCCCAAGAGUUCAUAUCGACGGCGGUGUUUGGCACCUCGAUGUCGGCUCAUCACAUCCUGGGGCUGAAGUAGGUCCCAAGGGUAUGGCUGUUCGCCAUUUAAAGUGGUACGCGAGCUGGGUUUAGAACGUCGUGAGACAGUUCGGUCCCUAUCUGCCGUGGGCGCUGGAGAAUUGAGGGGGGCUGCUCCUAGUACGAGAGGACCGGAGUGGACGCAUCACUGGUGUUCGGGUUGUCAUGCCAAUGGCACUGCCCGGUAGCUAAAUGCGGAAGAGAUAAGUGCUGAAAGCAUCUAAGCACGAAACUUGCCCCGAGAUGAGUUCUCCCUGAGACUUUAAGUCUCCUGAAGGAACGUUAAAGACGAUGACGUUGAUAGGCCGGGUGUGUAAGCGCAGCGAUGCGUUGAGCUAACCGGUACUAAUGAACCGUGAGGCUUAACCUU
rnacentral:rRNA from 1 species